CCGCCGCGCGCGUCCCGGGUCUCCGGUCGCCGCGCUCCCUCAGGAAGUGACAGACUCCAGGCCCCUUCCUCCGCCCCGUCCCCCCGGACUGAACGCCACACACGUACUCACACCUCUACCCCGCUCACACCCGGGCUAGCGACGCGACCAUGAGGCCCCGGAGGUUCUUCAGAAGACGAUGAGGUCAUUCAACCAGGUUUCAUCAGCCCCAGAUAAGGAAAUUAAAUGAGAACGGAAUUUUGCUUUUUGGAAACAAAAACAAAAUACCCCCCCAAUUCUGAAGUGCCUCUACUAUAAGACCAGCGCACCCAGGCGAG